CCCGAAACUUCCUCUUGCAACAAUUUCAGCACCUUUAUCUAUAGCAUCAUUGAUAAGGCCUUCAAGUUUUUCAAAAUUCUCAUGCAUGCAUAGAGCUCCCAUGUCAUACCUUCCAGCCAGUGGUGGACCCUGCAAAAUUACUAUAGCUGCUUGAA